rnacentral:lncRNA from 1 species
UCUGACACCAGAUCGUCUGACACUGGAUCGUCUGACACCGGAUCAUCUGACAUCGAAUCAUCGAACAUCAGGACGCCUGACGUCGAUUUGUCCGGAUCGUCCGCUGGUGAGAUCAGCAGAAUCAAGGCAUGACGCAAUGAAGAAUCCACUCCUUUCGCCCGACGCCCCACCUGUGUGGAAACGCGGGCCGAUGUGGCAUCCGGCUCAGGAGUGGGGGGGCAAC